rnacentral:lncRNA from 1 species
GGCUUCAACUUUCUUCCACCAAGGUGCUUUCACUCGCUGAUGCAAGGAUUGUAAUUUUCUCCCUCGUGAGCUCUCUCUCUCUCUCUCUCUCUCUCUCACUGCCCGUGUUCAUGUUUACUACUGCUUCAAUUUCUUUGUGAUGCAAAUGUUGCCGGCGAACGUACUUUGUGUAGAAAAGGUUAAAAAAUCACUUUUUCUGGUUGUGAAUUUUUCUAAAUUUGAUCUAGUCUAGCAGUUCAACAUGUAUUGUAUCAUCAAAACACACUCAUAUGUAUUUUAUAUAUGCAUCAACCUAUACAGUUCAGUACAUCAGUUCGUAAUAAACAAAAACAAAUGAAGAUCAGUGCGUGUCCAACAAAAACAAAUGAAGAUCAGUGGUUUUGAUUGCUGCUGGUUUUGUAUCUCAUGGUGGUUCGCAGGUAUAAGAUGGGAUUUUCAUAGCUUUACAUUGUUGUUUUGGUUUGUGGCACAUAGAUGCUUUUGAAAUAUGUUCUGCACAUGUUUUGUUGGAUUCAGUUCCUCCCCAAAAAAGCACUAAAGGAGGUUAAAAAAGCAUGGUUCUGCUUGCUUGUGUCAUUUUUCCCUUCAUCGACAAAAAAACUAGUUCAACUACAAAAGAAUACAUCAGUUCAAAUGUCAGAAAAACAUCAGUUCAAAAAAAUAAAUAAAAACAACUUAAGUAUAUGCCAUCAUGGAGCGCUUGCCUUCAAGAUUUAUCUCUUGUUCUUGUUUUUCCCUUUCCAGGUUUACGUUCUAGCAUACCUUUUUUUUCUUAUCAAUUACUCCCUCCGUAAAGAAAUAUAAGAGCAUUUAGAUUGCUACUUUAGUGAACUAAAUGAUAUUAUAUUUCUUUAUAGAGGGGAAUACCUCAUCUAUCCUUCCUUGUAGAUGGAGAUGUGUGUAUGUAUACAUGUGUUAUGGAGAGAGAAGAACUUAUCUGGUGGUGUGUGUGUGUGUUGCUGCAUCCUCGUCCGACCACUCUAGUCCACACUCUCAGUACAACUUCUCUAUGACUUCAUGUUCACAAAUCUUGUAGUACAUUUUUUUAAUAGAAGUCUUGUAGUACUAUGUAAAGCAAGCGUGGCCAACACAUACUUUUGAAGUGAUGCUAGAAAAACUGAGAUGUCAAAUUUAACAUUCUAUUAUUUUCUUUUAGUUUUGGUGUCUGAAUUUGUGGAUAUGUGAGCAGGCCCCAAUAUAGAGCUAGGCCUUGUCAAUGCAAAUUUAUUAUGCACCUGAUCCAAAUUCUUCUGAUGUUCUGGGCCUCUGGGGCAUGGGUCCAAUAUAUUAGUUUCUAUGCUCCACUGGUUCUCUCCACCACGAGCCCCAGCGUGGAUCACCCUCAGCAGCCAAAUCCAGGCACGCCCAGUCACUGCUCGUGAACCCCGCCUCCAUCAGCUCCACUUCACCGGAGUCGUCAGUGCGCAGGAGUAUGGGUAGCAGGUUCUGGUCAGAGUUCGGACUAUACCAAAUGUCCAAAUUACACGGUGUGGUCUUCUGUUCUUUCCGUUCAUUUCAAGGUAACUGUAGCUGAACUUGUGUUGUGUUGAUACUGAACUUGUGUUUUGGCUGAUUCUAAACUGAUGCGUAUCCAACAUUGGUGUUUAAACAAUUCUUGGUCCAUUGACUGUCUGAAAUUGCAACCUUACUGCCUUGAACUAUGGUCUAAAAAAACUGAACUCAUGCAGGUACUUGGUGGUGCAGACUUGGUAGCGGUGAUAUUUUGGUUCGCUUAAGAGUUCACAAAUGAAGAUUUCAAACAACAAUCUCUAAAUAUUUUCUUGAUCACUAAACAAGACCAAUUUUAGCAUGUUUCCUGAAAUAUUUUAGCAUGUUUUAUGUUUCCAUCUACAAGUUCACACACUAUUGUCUCGGACGUUCAAACAUUUGUUUCCCUGAUGUUCAGAUAUUAUCAUCUAGGAGGAAUACAUGUUGUAACUUCGAGAGAAAACGUUCAUGUUGAUUACUCCUGUCAAGUGUAAAUUUUUUCCAAUAUACAAUCUAUAAGUUCAAUAUCCAGUACAUUAGUUUAGUAGUUGGUACUAACUACUCCAGUUUUUUUCUUGAUGUACCUGUGGUGUCUAGUUUUUCUUUUAGUUCAAUUUCUAAAUUUCAGCCAGUUCAAUUCGUAUUGUAGCUGCACUUUAGUCCACAUGGUUAAUUGUUGGCUGGUGUGUGUGCAGGGUACCGUGACAUUGAGUAGGUGCGAAGUGUAUCACUCCAGCAUGCCAUGCUCCAGUGCAUGUCAGCGUCUUCUCCACUGCAAUGGAAGAUGCAGAUUUUGCUCCGCUCUACUUGCCUUGCUAGUGUUUGCUUUAAUGCCUCAAUGGUGCACUGUGCAUCUUUUGCACUCUGAAGACAGAGCUUGAUUACUCUGUUUCUACUAUUAGUUCAUGCAAACCUGGUUAUAAGAUGUCUUUUUUUUCAUUGUUACUCGAUGUCUCAUUUUCCUGUUUUCUGUUAUAUUUUUCUAGGGAAGGUUCUUGUAAUUAUUAGUUCUUUGAUUGUAUGAUGCAACCGCUCACUCGAUGUCAUUGUCAUUGUUCUUAUAGUUGCAUAUAUGGAAG